rnacentral:rRNA from 1 species
GAUGAACGCUGGCGGCGUGCCUAAUACAUGCAAGUCGAGCGAACAGACGAGGAGCUUGCUCCUCAGACGUUAGCGGCGGACGGGUGAGUAACACGUGGAUAACCUCCCUAUAAGACUGGGAUAACUUCUGGAAACCGGAGCUAAUACCGGAUAAUAUAUUGAACCGCAUGGUUCAAUAGUGAAAGACGGUUUUGCUGUCACUUAUAGAUGGAUCCGCGCCGCAUUAGCUAGUUGGUAAGGUAACGGCUUACCAAGGCAACGAUGCGUAGCCGACCUGAGAGGGUGAUCGGCCACACUGGAACUGAGACACGGUCCAGACUCCUACGGGAGGCAGCAGUAGGGAAUCUUCCGCAAUGGGCGAAAGCAUGACGGAGCAACGCCGCGUGAGUGAUGAAGGUCUUCGGAUCGUAAAACUCUGUUAUUAGGGAAGAACAAAUGUGUAAGUAACUAUGCACGUCUUGACGGUACCUAAUCAGAAAGCCACGGCUAACUACGUG